rnacentral:misc_RNA from 1 species
CUGUAUUUUCUAAUAUUCCUUAGUUGAACCUAUGAUAAUUCAGCAUUAAAGCUUUGGUGCUUGGUAAGAUUAUUUCUAAAAUCCCUUUUAGUCAAACUUGAAUUCAGUCGAGUAUCACAGUUGCAACAGUUCUGUAUUGGUGGUAAGUGUAAUUAGUCAUGCAUAGUGCAUCUACCAUUCAGUAUCUAUAUGAAAGGGAGAAUGCUGAGCAUCUACCUGUUGUGUUGUAUCACUGGUGGAGUUUGCAAUUAAGAGCACGGGUACCACUGCCUAUUUACUGGUAAAGGCACGGGUUUGUUCUACUGAUCCUUUGAUAACUCUGCUUUACUUGUAGUUUGGUUUAGAAAUCAUCGUCGGAUGGGGGGAUCUUCCGUUUCUAGGUAUUGAUUUUAGUAUUAAGAUUCUUCAUGUUAAGAGA